UUCUAUGUUAGUGUUAUUUAAGAAAAAUUCUGAUGAGGAAAAUUAUAUACACAAAUGUCUUUUGGAAUAUGUUAUCGAAGGAUGAAUUUGCUCCACGUCCUGUUGACAUUUUCACAAAUAGAAAUGUUUUACCUCCUGAUGCAAUUAUUUCAGCAGGUUCUGUGAAUUGUACUCCAAGUAUCCAUCUCUAACACAAUCAUGUUUCCUGUUUGAAAAUGUUCGCUGAUAUGAUGUGCCUCUUUGCUUUAAUGGUUGUAUUCUAUGUUAAUUAUUUCUUUUUGGAUAAUGCAUAUAUAUUGAAGCACUGAAGUCACCUUUGAUGGGUCUGAUUGUUGAAUCAAAUUUGUAGAAUGUCUGAUAUACUGCAGAAAACAAAAGUUCUACUACAAUAAUCGAUGUUUCUACAUAUGUAACUCCUGUGAAGGUACUGGCUACUAAACUUUUCACUUGACUUGGACUUUGAUUCAUCAAAAAGUGAAGAACAUCUAUUUUCUGCGUCAUCUUAUUUCAUUUAGGUUUAUCUAUGCAUACUACUUAAAUUGUAAUGUGAUGGAUCCUGAGGAGCUGGAAGUCCCAAGGGUGUGGUUGCCUUUUGAGUGUGGCUUUUGUUCAUUAAUGCUAACAAAUAAAAUAUUGGUCUCUUACCUUGUAGGAAUUGGUGAGGAAGUGGCUAGAACAGUAGCUUGAGAGGCAUAAGAUUAGCUAAGGGACUUGGGCAUUCUGGUGUUGUAUUUUUGCUUACUUGUGUGGCAACAGGAGGCCUGACAUAUUCAUCUUCAAAUUUACUGUUCUGCUAAUGACAAAGAUGAUGAUGAUAAUGUCGAGUUCUGAAAUGUAUACGAGUAUUGGCCGAUAAAGUUGGUUUCUUAUCUGGGCAUCAUGAAGAAUUGCAUGAUAAGUUCAGUAUAAUGGAUGCUUCUAACGAACAGCUUCGUAAGGAAUUGUAGGAGAAAACAGAGCAGGAAAAUAAAGAGAAAAAUUAUUUUGGUUAUUUGGGAAUUCUUGAGAUUGCUGCCUAUGUGCUGGCUCAAUCUGAACAUUAUGAGGCAAUUACAAAGAUCAACUAUAACUACUACUUAUCUGCGGAAUUUGUGGCACUAUUUACAAACCAUAUUCCAAGCAGGCCUAAUUACAUAGUUGGACAUAUUGUUCAUAUUAAGACCAAAUUGUGAAAGUAUCGUCGGAACACGGUAAGGCGAGACAAUCACUGACAUAGAGACUAAUUCAGAUUCAACUCCAAAUCCACAUGGUCUAUCGGUUGGAUGUGAAUAUUUUGUUGUGACGUAGCCAUGUUACUCGAUACCACCAUUCGUUCAACUUCUCCCACUUCCUAAUCCUGCUUUUUGCUUUUAAAAUAUUUGAAUACAUUUAUGUAUGCAAGUAUUUGGUCUCUAUUUGUUUCUGUUAUUUAUUAAUUAUGCAUUGUUCAGUAUAGCAUGUUAAGUUUGAUCCCUGAGUGAUAAAGUGUUUAAUCUAGUCUGUUAUAUAUUAUUAUGGUCCUAUUAAGUUUGGUCCCUGGAUGAGAAAAUGUUUAAUCAAACGCGUGAUCGUGUAGUAAAAAAUUCCAUUUUUACUAUUUUGAGAUAUAUGCAUU